CCUACGGGCGGCAGCAGUGAGGAAUAUUGGUCAAUGGACGAGAGUCUGAACCAGCCAAGUAGCGUGAAGGAUGACUGCCCUAUGGGUUGUAAACUUCUUUUAUAUGGGAAUAAAAUGUUCCACGUGUGGGAUUUUGUAUGUACCAUAUCAAUAAGGAUCGGCUAACUCCGUGCCAGCAGCCGCGGUAAUACGGAGGAUCCGAGCGUUAUCCGGAUUUAUUGGGUUUAAAGGGAGCGUAGGUGGAUUGUUAAGUCAGUUGUGAAAGUUUGCGGCUCAACCGUAAAAUUGCAGUUGAAACUGGCAGUCUUGAGUACAGUAGAGGUGGGCGGAAUUCGUGGUGUAGCGGUGAAAUGCUUAGAUAUCACGAAGAACUCCGAUUGCGAAGGCAGUUCACUGGACUGCAACUGACACUGAGGCUCGAAAGUGUGGGUAUCAAACAGGAUUAGAUACCCGGGUAGUC
rnacentral:rRNA from 1 species